ACCAAAAACCAAGCCGAAGAUAGCUAGGUACUUUGCAUGAUUUCAGAAUUAUCUCGAAAACGUCGCACAAUCUUUUGUAUAACUUUUAGAACUUGUCUAGGCGGAACCGUUUAUUAUACAAAAAUAUUGUUUUCAAUCAUUUCUUAUAAGAGCUUUUUCAAGGUCAAAAGUUAAAGUGGCUCUAGGGAGCAUAUUUUUCAACCGAAUUAAUAAUGUUCUGAUUCGUUGGAAAGGUUUUGGAAUCCCCUUACAAAUCUGAACUGGUUCCAAUAGAAUAUUAAUCGAUAAUAAACCUUUAAUUUUUAGUCGAAAAAGUUGAAACGCUUUAAAAUUUUAUUAUGCUAUUUAAAUAUAAAACUGACAAAACUAGGAGCAUAGUAUUUAAUGUUCGGAUAAAAUUUGGAAAGGCAGACGCUUAACCCAUUCCUUACCAUGGUAUUAUACAUCGUACGCAAAUUGAGUUAUUUUAGAUGAUUUAUUUCUGGGCAAUUGAUAUUCGAAUUGCUGUCGGGAAUGGAUUUUUAAUUACCUUAGUUCUUCAAUUACUUGGGAAAAAUAGUCCGACAGAAAUGGGAAUACAUUUUGUUGUUCUUUUCUUGCUUCACGUGAAGUCAUGUAAAAAUUUUGCUCAAAAUGGCGGACGGAAAGUUCGACAUCCCGUCGAAUUUGUUAAAAUUUGCCUUCAUCUUCUCUGAUUUGGUCAUGAAUUGGUCUUAAGUGUAGCUAAAAGACCUUAUUUCUGGCAUAAAGAAUAAGAGAUCAAGUCCACAAUAUUAAAAUAAUUCUCAUUGAUCUGAUUUGUUUCACUUUUAUUUAAAAAAUCGGGAUCGUCCCUAUUUGAAUUUCGCUCAAAAAUCACCUAAAAAUUUGAUAUUUGGCUGGCGUUCACGCACGAACGCAAUUGCGCGUGGGUCACUACCAUAAAAAGUCUUGUUGGAUAGGCCUAUAUUAUACAAAAAAAUAUUAGGUCGAUCCGACUUACAGACCACCCACACCACACACUUAUAAGUCCGUCCCUAUUUGAAUUUCGCUCACUGUAUUUCCAGAAGAUGACCCUACUAAAAUUCUUAUAUACGCGGACGAUAUCGUCAUCUAUAAUUCCACUCCUGAUAGUGUUGAACAAUAUAUAGAACUUCAAAAGCGUCUAAACGAAAUGGGUAGAUGGCCGUCUGACAACGGAUUUAAGUUUUCACCUCGGUUUUCACCCUCCAAAACGAUGGCAAUGCACUUUUGUCGAAAACAUAGGUGUCCACAUCAAACAUUUACUCUCAACGGUUCCUGCCUCAAACACACAGAUUCAUACAAAUUCUUAGGCAUCUUUCUUGACCCUAAGCUAUCCUUUAAAACACAUAUUCAGAACUUAAAAGUCUCGUGUAAUAAAAGACUAAAUGUGUUAAAGUGUCUCUCAGGACUAACCUGGGGAUCCGAUAGAAGCUCACUUGUGAAAGUUCACGAAGCCACUGUUCUAUCUAAGAUGUUCUAUGGGUGCGAAGUAUAUGCAACAGCUGGAUCUCAAACUUAUUUAAAUACUCUCAACAGUAUUUACAAUACAGGAUACAGGUUUAGUUUAGGCGCGUUUGUAACUUCCCCUACAAAUAGUAUUCUUUCAGAAGCAGGAGUUCCUCCACUCCGGCAGCGAUUUGACUUCAUAUGUGCUAAGACUGCAAUCCGGAUGGCCUCAUCCUACGGGAUUACAGGGCAUACCGAUAUAAUUGCAUAUGAAGAAAGAAAAAGUCGCAAAAGCUUCUUCUCAAGUGGUGGCAGUUUGGCUUACUCAAUUAUGGAUGGACUUCAAUUUGAGGAAAAUAAAAUACAAGUCCUUUACACUGAUGGCUCCGCCAGUGGGGAAAGUAGAGGAUUCGCAGUCGUCUUUGAUCAUGAACUUAUAUAGUGCCAAAUGCCAUAGUAGUUUAUCAGUUUAUGAUUUGGAAGCCAGGGGUAUUGAAAAGGCGCUAGAAGCAAUCCAAAGUCCCGACGGUGCCACCCAACACUAUAUUACUGCAUCCGAUUCCCUGAGUGUCAUUACUGCUGUGGACAACUUAGCUAUCAAUUCCCCCAUCAUUCGAAGAAUCAGAAACCUACUGAUUGAAUUAGGAGAUCAGACCACACUACUUUGGAUUCCGGGUCACAAGGGCAUUCCAGGGAAUGAGAGAGCAGACAGAGAAUCCAAAGCAGCUUCCUUUUUACCUUCCAUCACUGAUACUUGUGUCCCCGUCAAAUCUGCAAUUUCAUUGUGCAAAAACUUUUACGACGACUUAAAACUAAAAUGGUUCAAUUAUGAGGUAACUGGGUUCAUAAAAAAAACAAUUUACGUACCAAAACGUCCUAUUAUCCCUAAAUCACUUACCAGAAAAGAAUGCACCAUAAUUUCAAGAUUAAGAAUUGGACACUGUCGAUUAACCCAGUCCUUCAAAUUAACUAAAUCUCCCAUACCCCUCUGUCCAUCCUGUAAAAGAUAUCUUACCAUAUAGAACACAUCUUACUCGAAUGUAAAAAACUAAGUAAAAUAAGGAAACAAAUUUUUGGAAAUAAAAACAUAUUAAGCUUGCUGAGUUAUUCAAAGUCAGAUAUAGAUUUAAUAAUAAAAUUCAUUAAAGAAUUAGAACUUUUGGAAGAAAUUUAAACGUUUCUGUAAUCUAUUUUUUCUUACUCUUUCUUUUCAUUUUACAAGUAUUUCUUUUUCUUCUUUUCAUUGAACUUAUCCUCCAAUUGUAAUAUACAUUAACCACUAAUAUAAAACUAUGUAAAAUUAUACGGUGCUAUAUGAAAAAAUGCACCUAAUGAAAUUUGAAUAAAUAAAUAAUAAUAA